rnacentral:rRNA from 1 species
CUGAAGGGUACUGCGGAGACAUUA